UAGGCCCAGUACAAAAACGAAAUAGGAAGGAAACCCUGGAUCCCCAAAUCAGAACCCUCAUCUCCACUCCGCCGCCGCCGCACUCCAGCUACCACGCCGUCGACCCAACCCUCAACGCUGCCCCAGCAGCAUCGGUCGCGGCCGUCGUCGUACCAGCUCGCCGCUCCACCUGCUCGCCUACUGUCCCUUCAUCCUCAAUGGUGGAGCGACCCACGCCGUGUCCUCGUCGGCGCCUGUGUGCGUCCGCCUCACAGCACGCUCGAGCGCCCCCUCCUUGAGUCGUCGCCACCUGGGAAAGCAGCGACGAUCUGCCUCACCAAGAUGACGACGGCUGCCUCAAGUUGGGGGACACAUCUAGUUGGUGAUAGACCAGGGGAGACGUUGCUCCAUGAACAGGGGAGUACAAACAGGAGCAGGUGGAUAAACUCUCCACGAAGCUCACCAGAAUAAAAAUAGGGAAAGAAACUGAAUCUGGGGAAGACGUUGUUAAUAUCAUCAGGUUGUUAUGCUUAAGUACAGAUACAGUUAGAUGUGAAGCUCCAAAACAGGGUUUAUAAUCGCUCGGCCAUUUCUGUUUCUUUAUUAACUUAUCAUGAUAAGACCAUAUACAGUUAGAUAUGAAGCUGCUUGUUUGUCGCCCUUUAUGUUAAUGUGAUAUUCAGCAGGGUAGCUCUUUAAUUUAUAUUUUUCUUUCUCUUAGGCAGCAAUGAUGCUCCUUAUAUUGAUGUGAUAUUCUACCAUGUUUUAUCCUAUACAUUACAAUGCCAUUCUGUAUUUAGUAUGCUCAGGAUCAUUUGAUCUGUCUUGCACUUGUGUUUUCUUUGUUGGUUCAGUCUUAAUGGUACUUAUCCUUAUAGUUACUUGGGAUUUUUGUCUAUCAUACCUUUUGACCUUUCAUUAUGUUAGUAUCUUUGACUUAUUCGGCAGUUACAUUGCAAGUUCGAGGAAUAUCAUUGGCACAGCAGAGAGGUUGCAAACAAGAAGACAGAAAAUAGCCUUUGCAAAGGACAAGAGGGCGACAACAAAAUUAAGAUUGCUUUCGUGUGUUUGUUGAGUUGGCCUUGAGCUGCUGGGUGAAGAAAGUAGCCUCCAUGCUUCUUAAAUCUGGGUACUGUUUUGUACAGAAGCUUUCAUCUAUAGAGAAGCACAUCUGUUUCAGAUUGAUGAGUCUAUUUCGUGCAGGCUAAUCUGAAAAAGAAGCCAAUUCAAGCUGUAGUUGACUAACAAAUGGGUCAUGUUUUUCAUAUGUAGUUGACGAACUUAUGUGUUAUUAGAUGUGCUCUUAAUACUUUGUUGUAUGCAAAUUAGACGGAUUGUGUUGGAUGACCGGCUCCUGCGUUCGUUUUCACAGACUGCUCCCUCUGUUCGUGGACAAAUACGGUGUCCAGUUUAGGUGUCGGUGUUGGAGAUGCCCUAAGCAUAAAGGAUGGGUGAAAUCAUAUGUGGUGUGAGCUAGUCUGGAAUAGAGCAGCGGCCAAACAAAGUGUAGUGUCCUAGUCAUAACCCGGUGCGGUGCGGUGCCGGGGGAUUCUGGUCUGGUACUUCCGUCUUCUGGUGGAGAAUAUCUGUUGUUGCGUUUGAA